AAUCUGGGGUCCCCGACCUCCGAGUUGUAAUUUGGAGAGGCAUCUUCGGGGGGGAGCGCCGGCCCAUGUUCCUUGGAACAGGACGUCGCAGAGGGUGAGAAUCCCGUGCCAGGCCGGCUCCCUCCUCCCGGGUGAAGCGCCUUCGACGAGUCGAGUUGUUUGGGAAUGCAGCUCCAAGUGGGUGGUAAGUUUCAUCUAAAGCUAAAUACCGGCGGGAGACCGAUAGCGCACAAGUAGAGUGAUCGAAAGAUGAAAAGCACUUUGAAAAUAGAGUCAAAAAGUACGUGAAAUUGUUGAAAGGGAAGCGCUUGAGACCAGACUCAGGCCCGGGCAAACACCGCGCCCCCCCGGGGCCGUGCAAUUGCCUGGGGCUGGGCCAGCAUCAGUCGGCGUGGCGGGAAAAAGGCGCGGGUAAUGUGGCUCCCCUCGGGGAGUGUUACCAGCCCCGCGCUCAAUGCCGCCGACGCCGACUGAGGACCGCGCCUCGGCUAGGAUGCUGGCUUAAUGGCCUUCAGCGACCCGUCUUGAAACACGGACCAAGGAGUCUAACAUCUAUGCGAGUGUUUGGGCGCCAAACCCUUGCGCGGAAUGAAAGUGAGCGGAGGUGGGAACCCCCCAGCGGGGCGCACCAUCGACCGAUCCUGAUGUCUUCGGAUGGAUUUGAGUA
rnacentral:rRNA from 1 species